UGAGCGCUCGAAAUGGUGGAUCGAAGUUCUCUUUCGUUGCCCACCUUUUCCUAGCGUUGAGCGUGUUAAGUGGUUCCUGAGGGGUAGCCGUGUCAGUUUGUUUUUGCAGAAUUAAACGGGAGUCCAGUCAGUGUCGUCUUCCUCAGUGGGAAACAACACGCUUAAACUCGUCAGAUUCAAUGGCUUUUGAAGCUGAAACUCCGUUUAGGGCUGCACUAUAAAAGACUUUAUUCCACGAUAAACUCGAAUUGAGUGCGUCGAAUCAUCUUCUUUAAGAUUUCUGGGCAUCUCCAAGAGCAUGCACUCCAAAACUGGAAAGCCCUUGUGUUUAGAGUAUCGCAAGAUAUUCCAUAUACAUUCAUUGAAGAAAACAUUGCUGCCCUGUGGAAGAGAAAGCUAAAACUUGGCAUGUCCCUAAUCAACAAUUCUCAUCCAAUGGGGGAGGCUUUCACAAAUGGAGACACAAGCAACAGGAUUCUUUUAUGCAAACACACUCUUCUGAAAAGGAAAAGAGAGAAAUCCAAAGAGAUCACAUACCUUCUUCUGCUUCUUCUGGUGGGAAACAUCACAGGACAAAAAGCAAAGACAAACAUUGAAAGAUUUGUUAGACUCUUGAAAGCUUCAUGGACUAAGGCCAGGAGGAAGAAGUGGUUAAAAAGAAUAUUUAAAACUGGUUUCAGCCACCUUGAAAGAGGACAUAUAUGGGUCAGACAAUUGUAAAAUCAGAAGGACAUAGAAUGACACACACAGAGGCAUGCAGAUUUAAGAGGUGAAGGAAAAACACCUAGCCUAGUUAUUGGAAUUACUGUUUUCCAUCCAACAGAAUGGAAGAAAUAAAGCUAGAUACGAAGGAGAGAAGGGAAAUGAAUAUUUAUUUACAGGGAUAAGUUGCCUGUAUUGGGUUAGCACCCCUGGCUAUCUCUUUGUAAGCUUGACAAGUGGCUGAAGAUGAAGUCUGAAAGUGUCUCCGCUCAUACAGAUUUUUCUUGACUGCUUUGUAUGGACAACACUGACUCAAAAACUGUGUACAGGUCUUGGAAAGGCAGUAGCUUAAAAAGAAAUACUAAUAUAUAAGAUUUAAAUUUUAUGACAUUUAAUACUUUGGUUGUUUACUCACAGUUCUCUAUCAGUAUCCCCUUUUCAUUUUAUGGUUUCAUUGAUUUUAUGUUAGUUGUUGAGGCUACACUCACUCUUAUUGAUAUGUAUGGGAAGGGUGCCACUUUUGUGAGAAUCAGGUUUAUAUCUAAUGGUACUGAAUACUGCAUUGUUGAUUUUAAUUGUAUAAUGUAUGUUGUUGUUCACUACUCUGAGCCUGCCUGAUGGGAAGAGCAGUUUAGAAAUCAAAUAAAUCAAAUCAGUGGUUUUAUUGAGUUCCCACUGUAGCCAUGUUAGGAUGCCUAGAUUUCCAAAGGUUAUGUGGCAUUUUAAGUACCAUGACAUUUAAAUUCCGUGACAUUAUAUAAUUCUCGUAUUAUUACUACUAGUAUUAACAAUUGGGCUGGGUUGGCAACAGAUAAUACUUCAUAAAGCCUGUGUGAGUGGCAUGAGUAAGAAUUAUGUAUUUCUCACACAGCUUUGGAGAGCUAAAAUCUUGAUAAACCAAAAUCUGUCAGGAAGUUAUAUUAGUUUGUGGCUUUCUCUCCACAAGACUGUGAUGUAGCCUAUGCCAAGUCUGACUGACA